AAGUCGUAACAAGGUUUCCGUAGGUGAACCUGCGGAAGGAUCAUUACUAUAGCGUUGAAAUGUGUUGGCCGGCCCUCCUUGAAGAGGAUCGCGCCAAACGCGCUUCACGAAGAUAGAACCCAUGUUUAUCAGUACCUCCGUUUCCUCGGCAGGCUCGCCUGCCAAUGGGGACCAUACCAAACCCUAUUGUAGUCGAGCAGUGAACGUCAUAAGCUAAUAAAUCAAAACUUUCAACAACGGAUCUCUUGGUUCUG
rnacentral:misc_RNA from 1 species